GCCUUCGUAGUGUAGUAGUCAGCAAGCUCGACGCGUAACCCAGAGAUCCGUGGUUCGAUUCCCGGCAAAGGCG
rfam:Stegodyphus mimosarum contig108629, whole genome shotgun sequence.